rnacentral:rRNA from 2 species
UUUGAACGAGUGGCGGACGGGUGAGUAACACGUGGGUAACCUGCCCUUAAGUGGGGGAUAACAUUUGGAAACAGAUGCUAAUACCGCAUAAAUCCAAGAACCGCAUGGUUCUUGGCUGAAAGAUGGCGUAAGCUAUCGCUUUUGGAUGGACCCGCGGCGUAUUAGCUAGUUGGUGAGGUAACGGCUCACCAAGGCAAUGAUACGUAGCCGAACUGAGAGGUUGAUCGGCCACAUUGGGACUGAGACACGGCCCAAACUCCUACGGGAGGCAGCAGUAGGGAAUCUUCCACAAUGGACGCAAGUCUGAUGGAGCAACGCCGCGUGAGUGAAGAAGGCUUUCGGGUCGUAAAACUCUGUUGUUGGAGAAGAAUGGUCGGCAGAGUAACUGUUGUCGGCGUGACGGUAUCCAACCAGAAAGCCACGGCUAACUACGU